ACACACAAAGAAAGAUGAAGUCGAUUAAUAUUUUGAGUUUCCUCUUGCUUUCAAGUACCUCUCUUUGGUUGCCUUUGCUCGAUCUUUCACUUCUGAAAAUCCAAUUGUCCUCCCCACAACUUGUCAUGAUGAUGAUAAUCUUGUACUCCCUGAAGUUUAUGACCAAGAUGGCAAUCCGCUGAGGAUUGGUGAGAGGUACAUUAUUAACAAUCCUCUCCUCGGGGCCGGAGCCGUAUACUUGUACAAUAUUGGAAACCUUCAAUGCCCAAACGCCAUGUUGCAGCACAUGUCGAUUCCCCAAUUUUUGGGAGAAGGCACGCCCGUCAUGUUCGUUCGUAAGUCGGAGUCGGAUUAUGGUGAUGUGGUGCGUAUAAUGACUGGUGUUUAUAUCAAGUUCUUUGUUAAAACAACAAAGUUGUGUGUUGACCAAACUGGUGGUAAGGUAGGAAAUGAAAACGACAUCUUCAAAAUUAGGAAAACUGACUUGGUGACACCAGGAGGUUCCAAAAAUGUAUACAAGUUACUGCAUUGUCCCUCUCAUCUUCAGUGCAAAAAUAUCGGCGGCAACUUUAAAAAUGGAUAUCCUCGUCUGGUGACUGUCGAUGACGAUAAGGAAUUUAUUCCAUUUGUGUUCAUCAAGGCGUAGAAUGCUAAUUAGCUGGCUAGCUUGCAGCUUUCUAAAUAAAGUGGAUAUAUCCUUCUAUCGCUCCAUGUAAAUUAAUGUAUGCUUAUCAAUAAAUAAACAAGCUAGCAAUUAGCCUAUUACCUUA